GGGGCUGACCUGGUUUCGACGGGAUCUGGUGGCUCUCAACUGCAUGUCGGACUGAGCAUUCCGUUAGACGGCUCACAAUUGCUUAAACGCAAACAAUACAAAUUAUCGCCCAGCUUUAGCAGUAGCUUAAGUUUUAACCCCUCGCAAGAGGCGGGCUGCUUCACCUGUGGAUUCUAAAUAAGCAGGACUCGAAGUAUAAACCUUCAUUUAGAUAUAUCUUGAGUACGCCUUAGCUCAAGAUGAAUCCUUGAGGCUGGUCUUGCGUAGCUUUGCAGGUUGUGUGAAGCAAGACAAGAUUAAACAACCUUUCUAAGCAUGUAGACGUUGGGAGUAGCCAGGUUUCGGACUGCGGUUCGAUUCCGCACAGCUCCACCA
rfam:Sulfurimonas autotrophica DSM 16294, complete genome.